AUGUCUGCCGAUCAAACGGUGAAAAUGUCCAUGCUUCUACUAUUGUCCUUGCUGCUCAUUUCUUAUGGAAUUGGCAACACCCGAUGCUCGACAGUCCCUGGUAACAGUGAGGACAUGCUCUCGUUGCUAGAUUUCAAGCGAGCCAUCACCAGUGAUCCAAGGCAAGCCUUGAGCUCAUGGAACACUAGCAUCCACCAUUGCCAGUGGGAGGGUGUCAACUGCAGCUUGAAGCACGCAGGCGUGUCACCGCGCUCAACCUCACAGACCAAAGUUUGCAAGGUCAAAUUGCUCCCUCUCUUGGAAAUCUAA
rnacentral:rRNA from 1 species